UGGCGGCCUCGCUGGUUAGCACCACCAAUGUGUUUGUGACGCUGUCCGCCGCCGCCUCGCCCUCGGCCUUCAAUGGCACCCUGUGCAACGACGCGCUGGAGGUGACGGGCGGCUCAGCCACCGUGUUCCUUAACUGCACCCUCACCUCGGACGGCAAGGGCAUCAACCUGCUGCUCUCCACCGCAAGCUCCGUCUCGACCUGUGAGUGGCAUUUGGGGGUCCCGCGUGCUCAUACUUUGUGGUCCAGCAGUGAUGACCCAGCCGUGUGCCGUGCUCGCUUGCCUAACGUGCCCUGCUCCCGACUCCCUGACAUGUGCAGCCAACACCAUCAACGUCAAGGCCAGCCAGACCAUGCUCAAGGCUGCCGGCAGCGACGCCGCCUCCAGCCCCGCCUUUGCGCGCCUCGGAUCGCCCAUCGCCGUGGCCGAUGCCCGCCUGAACGCCGCCUUCCUCACCAGCGCCAGCACCAUCGUGGCCAAGCUGGGCGCCCGCGCCGUGGCCUCGGAUGGCUUCUCCUGCAACUCGGUGUUUGCGCUGCUCAUGACCAACGGCAGUGUGCGCGCCAGCUCGCCCUUCACGGCCUGCACGCUCAGCACGGACGGCCUGACGGCGACCCUCACCACCACCACCUACGUGUCCAACGACCGCCUCAACGUGCGCUCCUCCAACACCAUCAUGACCGUGCUCGCCGCCACCGGCCCCAACUACCCCAACGUCAGCGCUGAUGCCAGCGCUGUGACCAUCAACCCCGCCAUCAGCUCGGCCAUGGCCAC
rnacentral:lncRNA from 1 species